ACUCAGUCGGUAAAGAAUCUGCCUGCAAUGCAGAAGACCCGGGUUCAAUUCCUGG
rnacentral:tRNA from 1 species